AGAGCCUGUGCUGCUGAGUAUACUAAAACUGGAGCUUACAGCAAAGACUACCAUGAGCCCUGUGCAAGGAUGACAUGCAAAGGCAUGAAGCGUUCUGUAUUAAA
ensembl:snRNA U6 U6 spliceosomal RNA